rnacentral:rRNA from 1 species
GAUGAACGCUAGCGAUAGGCUUAACACAUGCAAGUCGAGGGGCAGCACAAGGUAGCUUGCUAUCUGGGUGGCGACCGGCGCACGGGUGCGUAACGCGUAUGCAACUUGCCCUAUACAGGAGGAUAACCCGUCGAAAGACGGACUAAUACUGCGUAUGCUCACAACUUGGCAUCAAGUGGUGAGGAAAGAAAUUCGGUAUAGGAUAGGCAUGCGUCCCAUUAGCUUGUUGGUGAGGUAACGGCUCACCAAGGCAACGAUGGGUAGGGGAACUGAGAGGUUUAUCCCCCACACUGGUACUGAGACACGGAUCAGACUCCUACGGGAGGCAGCAGUGAGGAAUAUUGGUCAAUGGGCGCGAGCCUGAACCAGCCAAGUCGCGUGAAGGAUGACUGUCUUAUGGAUUGUAAACUUCUUUUAUACGGGAAUAACAAGAGUCACGUGUGACUCCCUGCAUGUACCGGAUGAAUAAGCAUCGGCUAACUCCGUG